rfam:Brachypodium distachyon strain Bd21 chromosome 4, whole genome shotgun sequence.
GUACUACUCUCUCCGAUCUAUAUUAAUUGUCGAAAUAUUACAUGUAUCUAGACGCUUUUUAGGCAUAGAUACAUCCAUAUUUGGACAAAUUUGAGACAAUUAAUAUGGAUCGGAGAGAAUACUAC